rnacentral:rRNA from 1 species
AGAUUAAGUUAUUAAGGGCGCACGGUGGAUGCCUUGGCACUAGAAGCCGAUGAAGGACGUUACUAACGACGAUAUGCUUUGGGGAGCUGUAAGUAAGCUUUGAUCCAGAGAUUUCCGAAUGGGGAAACCCAGCAUGAGUUAUGUCAUGUUAUCGAUAUGUGAAUACAUAGCAUAUCAGAAGGCACACCCGGAGAACUGAAACAUCUUAGUACCCGGAGGAAGAGAAAGAAAAUUCGAUUCCCUUAGUAGCGGCGAGCGAAACGGGAAGAGCCCAAACCAACAAGCUUGCUUGUUGGGGUUGUAGGACACUCUAUACGGAGUUACAAAGGACGACAUUAGACGAAUCAUCUGGAAAGAUGAAUCAAAGAAGGUAAUAAUCCUGUAGUCGAAAAUGUUGUCUCUCUUGAGUGGAUCCUGAGUACGACGGAGCACGUGAAAUUCCGUCGGAAUCUGGGAGGACCAUCUCCUAAGGCUAAAUACUCUCUAGUGACCGAUAGUGAACCAGUACCGUGAGGGAAAGGUGAAAAGCACCCCGGAAGGGGAGUGAAAUAGAACCUGAAACCGUGUGCUUACAAGUAGUCAGAGCCCGUUAAUGGGUGAUGGCGUGCCUUUUGUAGAAUGAACCGGCGAGUUACGAUUUGAUGCAAGGUUAAGCAGUAAAUGUGGAGCCGUAGCGAAAGCGAGUCUGAAUAGGGCGUUUAGUAUUUGGUCGUAGACCCGAAACCAGGUGAUCUACCCUUGGUCAGGUUGAAGUUCAGGUAACACUGAAUGGAGGACCGAACCGACUUACGUUGAAAAGUGAGCGGAUGAACUGAGGGUAGCGGAGAAAUUCCAAUCGAACCUGGAGAUAGCUGGUUCUCUCCGAAAUAGCUUUAGGGCUAGCCUCAAGUGAUGAUUAUUGGAGGUAGAGCACUGUUUGGACGAGGGGCCCCUCUCGGGUUACCGAAUUCAGACAAACUCCGAAUGCCAAUUAAUUUAACUUGGGAGUCAGAACAUGGGUGAUAAGGUCCGUGUUCGAAAGGGAAACAGCCCAGACCACCAGCUAAGGUCCCAAAAUAUAUGUUAAGUGGAAAAGGAUGUGGCGUUGCCCAGACAACUAGGAUGUUGGCUUAGAAGCAGCCAUCAUUUAAAGAGUGCGUAAUAGCUCACUAGUCGAGUGACACUGCGCCGAAAAUGUACCGGGGCUAAACAUAUUACCGAAGCUGUGGAUUGUCCUUUGGACAAUGGUAGGAGAGCGUUCUAAGGGCGUUGAAGCAUGAUCGUAAGGACAUGUGGAGCGCUUAGAAGUGAGAAUGCCGGUGUGAGUAGCGAAAGACGGGUGAGAAUCCCGUCCACCGAUUGACUAAGGUUUCCAGAGGAAGGCUCGUCCGCUCUGGGUUAGUCGGGUCCUAAGCUGAGGCCGACAGGCGUAGGCGAUGGAUAACAGGUUGAUAUUCCUGUACCACCUAUAAUCGUUUUAAUCGAUGGGGGGACGCAGUAGGAUAGGCGAAGCGUGCGAUUGGAUUGCACGUCUAAGCAGUAAGGCUGAGUAUUAGGCAAAUCCGGUACUCAUUAAGGCUGAGCUGUGAUGGGGAGAAGACAUUGUGUCUUCGAGUCGUUGAUUUCACACUGCCGAGAAAAGCCUCUAGAUAGAAAAUAGGUGCCCGUACCGCAAACCGACACAGGUAGUCAAGAUGAGAAUUCUAAGGUGAGCGAGCGAACUCUCGUUAAGGAACUCGGCAAAAUGACCCCGUAACUUCGGGAGAAGGGGUGCUCUUUAGGGUUAACGCCCAGAAGAGCCGCAGUGAAUAGGCCCAAGCGACUGUUUAUCAAAAACACAGGUCUCUGCUAAACCGUAAGGUGAUGUAUAGGGGCUGACGCCUGCCCGGUGCUGGAAGGUUAAGAGGAGUGGUUAGCUUCUGCGAAGCUACGAAUCGAAGCCCCAGUAAACGGCGGCCGUAACUAUAACGGUCCUAAGGUAGCGAAAUUCCUUGUCGGGUAAGUUCCGACCCGCACGAAAGGCGUAACGAUUUGGGCACUGUCUCAACGAGAGACUCGGUGAAAUCAUAGUACCUGUGAAGAUGCAGGUUACCCGCGACAGGACGGAAAGACCCCGUGGAGCUUUACUGUAGCCUGAUAUUGAAAUUCGGCACAGCUUGUACAGGAUAGGUAGGAGCCUUUGAAACGUGAGCGCUAGCUUACGUGGAGGCGCUGGUGGGAUACUACCCUAGCUGUGUUGGCUUUCUAACCCGCACCACUUAUCGUGGUGGGAGACAGUGUCAGGCGGGCAGUUUGACUGGGGCGG